GUGGGUAUAGCUCAGAUUGGUUAGAGCACCAGAUUGUGGCUCUGGGGGUCGCCGGUUCGAGUCCGGUUAUCCACCCCA
rnacentral:tRNA from 1 species